GCCUGAAUCAGUGUGUGUGUUAGUGGAAGCGUCUGGAAAGGCGCGCGAUACAGGGUGACAGCCCCGUACACAAAAAUGCACAUACUGUGAGCUCGAUGAGUAGGGCGGGACACGUGGUAUCCUGUCUGAAUAUGGGGGGACCAUCCUCCAAGGCUAAAUACUCCUGACUGACCGAUAGUGAACCAGUACCGUGAGGGAAAGGCGAAAAGAACCCCGGCGAGGGGAGUGAAAAAGAACCUGAAACCGUGUACGUACAAGCAGUGGGAGCCUCUUUUAUGGGGUGACUGCGUACCUUUUGUAUAAUGGGUCAGCGACUUAUAUUCUGUAGCAAGGUUAACCGAAUAGGGGAGCCGAAGGGAAACCGAGUCUUAACCGGGCGUUAAGUUGCAGGGUAUAGACCCGAAACCCGGUGAUCUAGCCAUGGGCAGGUUGAAGGUUGGGUAACACUAACUGGAGGACCGAACCGACUAAUGUUGAAAAAUUAGCGGAUGACUUGUGGCUGGGGGUGAAAGGCCAAUCAAACCGGGAGAUAGCUGGUUCUCCCCGAAAGCUAUUUAGGUAGCGCCUCGUGAAUUCAUCUCCGGGGGUAGAGCACUGUUUCGGCAAGGGGGUCAUCCCGACUUACCAACCCGAUGCAAACUGCGAAUACCGGAGAAUGUUAUCACGGGAGACACACGGCGGGUGCUAACGUCCGUCGUGAAGAGGGAAACAACCCAGACCGCCAGCUAAGGUCCCAAAGUCAUGGUUAAGUGGGAAACGAUGUGGGAAGGCCCAGACAGCCAGGAUGUUGGCUUAGAAGCAGCCAUCAUUUAAAGAAAGCGUAAUAGCUCACUGGUCGAGUCGGCCUGCGCGGAAGAUGUAACGGGGCUAAACCAUGCACCGAAGCUGCGGCAGCGACACUGUGUGUUGUUGGGUAGGGGAGCGUUCUGUAAGCCUGUGAAGGUGUACUGUGAGGUAUGCUGGAGGUAUCAGAAGUGCGAAUGCUGACAUAAGUAACGAUAAAGCGGGUGAAAAGCCCGCUCGCCGGAAGACCAAGGGUUCCUGUCCAACGUUAAUCGGGGCAGGGUGAGUCGACCCCUAAGGCGAGGCCGAAAGGCGUAGUCGAUGGGAAACAGGUUAAUAUUCCUGUACUUGGUGUUACUGCGAAGGGGGGACGGAGAAGGCUAUGUUGGCCGGGCGACGGUUGUCCCGGUUUAAGCGUGUAGGCUGGUUUUCCAGGCAAAUCCGGAAAAUCAAGGCUGAGGCGUGAUGACGAGGCACUACGGUGCUGAAGCAACAAAUGCCCUGCUUCCAGGAAAAGCCUCUAAGCAUCAGGUAACAUCAAAUCGUACCCCAAACCGACACAGGUGGUCAGGUAGAGAAUACCAAGGCGCUUGAGAGAACUCGGGUGAAGGAACUAGGCAAAAUGGUGCCGUAACUUCGGGAGAAGGCACGCUGAUAUGUAGGUGAAGUCCCUCGCGGAUGGAGCUGAAAUCAGUCGAAGAUACCAGCUGGCUGCAACUGUUUAUUAAAAACACAGCACUGUGCAAACACGAAAGUGGACGUAUACGGUGUGACGCCUGCCCGGUGCCGGAAGGUUAAUUGAUGGGGUCAGCGCAAGCGAAGCUCUUGAUCGAAGCCCCGGUAAACGGCGGCCGUAACUAUAACGGUCCUAAGGUAGCGAAAUUCCUUGUCGGGUAAGUUCCGACCUGCACGAAUGGCGUAAUGAUGGCCAGGCUGUCUCCACCCGAGACUCAGUGAAAUUGAACUCGCUGUGAAGAUGCAGUGUACCCGCGGCAAGACGGAAAGACCCCGUGAACCUUUACUAUAGCUUGACACUGAACAUUGAGCCUUGAUGUGUAGGAUAGGUGGGAGGCUUUGAAGUGUGGACGCCAGUCUGCAUGGAGCCGACCUUGAAAUACCACCCUUUAAUGUUUGAUGUUCUAACGUGGACCCGUGAUCCGGGUUGCGGACAGUGUCUGGUGGGUAGUUUGACUGGGGCGGUCUCCUCCUAAAGAGUAACGGAGGAGCACGAAGGUUGGCUAAUCCUGGUCGGACAUCAGGAGGUUAGUGCAAUGGCAUAAGCCAGCUUGACUGCGAGCGUGACGGCGCGAGCAGGUGCGAAAGCAGGUCAUAGUGAUCCGGUGGUUCUGAAUGGAAGGGCCAUCGCUCAACGGAUAAAAGGUACUCCGGGGAUAACAGGCUGAUACCGCCCAAGAGUUCAUAUCGACGGCGGUGUUUGGCACCUCGAUGUCGGCUCAUCACAUCCUGGGGCUGAAGUAGGUCCCAAGGGUAUGGCUGUUCGCCAUUUAAAGUGGUACGCGAGCUGGGUUUAGAACGUCGUGAGACAGUUCGGUCCCUAUCUGCCGUGGGCGCUGGAGAACUGAGGGGGGCUGCUCCUAGUACGAGAGGACCGGAGUGGACGCAUCACUGGUGUUCGGGUUGUCAUGCCAAUGGCACUGCCCGGUAGCUAAAUGCGGAAGAGAUAAGUGCUGAAAGCAUCUAAGCACGAAACUUGCCCCGAGAUGAGUUCU
rnacentral:rRNA from 1 species